rnacentral:tRNA from 1 species
AGGAUAUUAGUUUAAUUAAAAAUAUUUAAAUUGCAUUUAAUGGAUGAUAGAUUUAUCAUAUCUUA